GAUGAACGCUGGCGGCGUGCCUAAUACAUGCAAGUCGAGCGAACAGACGAGGAGCUUGCUCCUCUGACGUUAGCGGCGGACGGGUGAGUAACACGUGGAUAACCUACCUAUAAGACUGGGAUAACUUCGGGAAACCGGAGCUAAUACCGGAUAAUAUAUUGAACCGCAUGGUUCAAUAGUGAAAGACGGUUUUGCUGUCACUUAUAGAUGGAUCCGCGCCGCAUUAGCUAGUUGGUAAGGUAACGGCUUACCAAGGCAACGAUGCGUAGCCGACCUGAGAGGCUGAUCGGCCACACUGGAACUGAGACCCGGUCCAGACUCCUACGUGAGGCAGCAGUAGGGAAUCUUCCGCAAUGGGCGAAAGCUUGACGGAGCAACGCCGCGUGAGUGAUGAAGGUCUUCGGAUCGUAAAACUCUGUUAUUAGGGAAGAACAAAUGUGUAAGUAACUAUGCACGUCUUGACGGUACCUAAUCAGAAAGCCACGGCUAACUACGUG
rnacentral:rRNA from 1 species